GACGAACGCUGGCGGCGUGCUUAACACAUGCAAGUCGAACGGAAAGGCCCUGCUUUUGUUGGGUGCUCGAGUGGCGAACGGGUGAGUAACACGUGAGUAACCUGCCCUUGACUUUGGGAUAACUUCAGGAAACUGGGGCUAAUACCGGAUAGGAUCUCCUGCUGCAUGUUGGGGGUUGGAAAGUUUCGGCGGUGGGGGAUGGACUCGCGGCUUAUCAGCUUGUUGGGGGGGUAGUGGCUUACCAAGGCUUUGACGGGUAGCCGGCCUGAGAGGGUGACCGGCCACAUUGGGACUGAGAUACGGCCCAGACUCCUACGGGAGGCAGCAGUGGGGAAUCUUGCACAAUGGGCGGCAGCCUGAUGCAGCAACGCCGCGUGCGGGAUGACGGCCUUCGGGUUGUAAACCGCUUUCGCCUGUGACGAAGCGUGAGUGACGGUAAUGGGUAAAGAAGCACCGGCUAACUACGUG
rnacentral:rRNA from 1 species